rnacentral:rRNA from 1 species
GACGAACGCUGGCGGCGUGCCUAAUACAUGCAAGUAGAACGCUGAAGAGAGGAGCUUACUCUUCUUGGAUGAGUUGCGAACGGGUGAGUAACGCGUAGGUAACCUGCCUUGUAGCGGGGGAUAACUAUUGGAAACGAUAGCUAAUACCGCAUAACAAUGGAUGACACAUGUCAUUUAUUUGAAAGGGGCAAUUGCUUCACUACAAGAUGGACCUGCGUUGUAUUAGCUAGUAGGUGAGGUAAUGGCUCACCUAGGCGACGAUACAUAACCGACCUGAGAGGGUGAUCGGCCACACUGGGACGGAGACACGGCCCAGACUCCUACGGGAGGCAGCAGUAGGGAAGCUUCGGCAAUGGGGGCAACCCUGACCGAGCAACGCCGCGUGAGGGAAGAAGGUUUUCGGGUCGUAAAGCUCUGUUGUAAGUCAAGAACGGGUGUGAGAGUGGAAAGUUCACACUGUGACGGUAGCUUACCAGAAAGGGACGGCUAACUACGUG